rnacentral:lncRNA from 1 species
UUUUUAAUUGUGCAUUAAGUUGAAUGAUACAGUAUGAUUUUCAUCGUAACUUUCUUGGGAGCAUGCUCACAGUUUAUUAUUUUAAAGAUGUGAUUCUUGCAGAUUAUUAUUAUCAUCAUCAUCAUCCAAUAACUAGGUUAUUCUUUUUAAUGCAAAUAAGGAAAAGAAGUUCCAAUUCCUAAGAGAGUAGUUAACCUGCUCUAUCAUUUCUCUAUGCGCAAAAGGCGAUUAAUUAAAUAGUUUUCUUUAGUUCUUCUUUGACGGAAAGAUAGAAGGUCAUGCCAAGCCUGUUUAGUUCCCCUGCACUUUUGUUUUCUAAUCUGAGAUCAAUUCCCUUGAACUGUAAGGAACUCCGGGUUCAUGAAGAAAAAAAUUGGCUACGGUUUUAAAUCUCAGAAUUUACUUGAGGGCGUGCUCAUAGUUCA